GCUGGGUGCAGUGGCACACACCUGUAAUCCCAGUGGCUCAGGAGGCUGAGGCAGGAGGAUGGCGAGUUCAGCGCCAGCCUCAGCAAAAACCAGGCACUAAGCAACUCAGUGAGACCCUGUCUCUC
rnacentral:sRNA from 1 species